rnacentral:rRNA from 1 species
AGGACGAACGCUGGCGGCGUGCUUAACACAUGCAAGUCGAGCGGAAAGGCCCUUCGGGGUACUCGAGCGGCGAACGGGUGAGUAACACGUGAGCAACCUGCCCUUGGCUCUGGGAUAGCCUCCGGAAACGGGGAUUAAUACCGGACAUUCACUUUCUCCUGCAUGGGGGUUGGUGGAAAGUUUUUCGGCCAGGGAGGGGCUCGCGGCCUAUCAGCUUGUUGGCGGGGUAACGGCCCACCAAGGCGACGACGGGUAGCCGGCCUGAGAGGGCGAUCGGCCACACUGGGACUGAGACACGGCCCAGACUCCUACGGGAGGCAGCAGUGGGGAAUAUUGCACAAUGGGCGCAAGCCUGAUGCAGCGACGCCGCGUGGGGGAUGAAGGCCUUCGGGUUGUAAACCCUUUCACCAGGAGCGAAUUCAGACGGUACCUGGGGAAGAAGCGCCGGCUAACGUACGUGCCAGCAGCCGC